GAUGAAGAACGUAGCGAAAUGCGAUAAGUAAUGUGAAUUGCAGAAUUCAGUGAAUCAUCGAAUCUUUGAACGCACAUUGCGCCCCUUGGUAUUCCGAGGGGCAUGCCUGUUCGAGCGUCAUUAUAACCCUCAAGCUCAGCUUGGUGUUGGGGCCUGCUGCACUGGCAGCCCUUAAAAUCAGUGGCGGCGCCAUCUGGCUCUAAGCGUAGUAAUUCUUCUCGCUAUGGAGUCCUGGUGGAUGCUUGCCAUCAACCCCCAAUUUUUCUAUGGUUGACCUCGCAUCAGGUAGGGAUACCCGCUGAACUUAAGCAUAUCAAUAAGCGGAGGA
rnacentral:misc_RNA from 1 species